AUUGAACGCUGGCGGCAGGCUUAACACAUGCAAGUCGAGCGGUAACAGAGAGAAGCUUGCUUCUCUGCUGACGAGCGGCGGACGGGUGAGUAAUGCCUAGGAAUCUGCCUAGUAGUGGGGGAUUACUUGCCGAAAGGUAAGCUAAUACCGCAUACGUCCUACGGGAGAAAGGAGGGGACCUUCGGGCCUUUCGAUAUUAGAUGAGCCUAGGUCGGAUUAGUUGGUUGGUGGGGUAAUGGCUCACCAAGACCGCGAUCCGUAACUGGUCUGAGAGGAUGAUCAGUCACACUGGAACUGAGACACGGUCCAGACUCCUACGGGAGGCAGCAGUGGGGAAUAUUGGACAAUGGGGGGAACCCUGAUCCAGCCAUGCCGCGUGUGUGAAGAAGGUCUUAGGAUUGUAAAGCACUUUAAGUUGGGAGGAAGAGCAGUUAACUAAUAUUUGACUGUUUUGACGUUACCGACAGAAUAAGCACCGGCUAACUUCGUGCCAGCCGCCGCAGUAA
rnacentral:rRNA from 1 species